GAUGAAGAACGCAGCGAAAUGCGAUACUUGGUGUGAAUUGCAGAAUCCCGUGAACCAUCGAGUCUUUGAACGCAAGUUGCGCCCGAAGCCAUUAGGCCGAGGGCACGCCUGCCUGGGUGUCACACGUCGUUGCCCCCCCAUCUACUCCUUCGGGAUUGCGGGGGGCGGAUGAUGGCCUCCCGUGCGCCUCGUCGCGCGCUUGGCAUAAAUGCCAAGUCCUCGGCGACGCACGCCACGACAAUCGGUGGUUGCGAAACCUCGGUUGCCCGUCGUGUGCGGUCGUCGCGCAUCGAGGGCUCGAAAAAAUUGCCGGGCUCCGGCUCGGCUUUCAACGCGACCCCAGGUCAGGCGGGGUUACCCGCUGAAUUUAAGCAUAUCAAUAAGCGGAGGA
rnacentral:misc_RNA from 1 species